UACGUAGGGCGCAAGCGUUAUCCGGAAUUAUUGGGCGUAAAGAGCUCGUAGGCGGUUUGUCGCGUCUGCCGUGAAAGUCCGGGGCUCAACUCCGGAUCUGCGGUGGGUACGGGCAGACUAGAGUGAUGUAGGGGAGACUGGAAUUCCUGGUGUAGCGGUGAAAUGCGCAGAUAUCAGGAGGAACACCGAUGGCGAAGGCAGGUCUCUGGGCAUUAACUGACGCUGAGGAGCGAAAGCUAGGGUAGCAAACGGG
rnacentral:rRNA from 1 species